CCUACGGGAGGCAGCAGUAAGGAAUAUUGGUCAAUGGGCGGAAGCCUGAACCAGCCAUGCCGCGUGCAGGAAGACUGCCUACGGGUUGUAAACUGCUUUUGUUAGGGAACGCGUACCUAAAGAAUAAGGAUCGGCUAACUCCGUGCCAGCAGCCGCGGUAAUACGGAGGAUCCAAGCGUUAUCCGGAUUUAUUGGGUUUAAAGGGUGCGUAGGCGGCCCGUUAAGUCAGGGGUGAAAGACGGUGGCUCAACCAUCGCAGUGCCUUUGAUACUGGCGGGCUUGAAUGUACGUGAGGUGGGCGGAAUGAGGCAAGUAGCGGUGAAAUGCAUAGAUAUGCCUCAGAACACCGAUUGCGAAGGCAGCUCACCAAGUCGAUUGACGCUGAUGCACGAAAGCGUGGGGAUCAAACAGGAUUAGAUACCCUUGUAGUC
rnacentral:rRNA from 1 species